AAGACCCUCUCUCCUCCCACAGGGGGAGCCCACAUGAAUUGGGGAGCCUGCUGCAGGAGGAACCUUUCUUUCCCUCUCCUCUGGUUCCCACAGGGGCUCAUAAAGAGGAACCCUCCUCCUUCCUGGAAAUGUUGAGUGUUCCUGACCUUCUCUCUACCCAUCGCUGUACCCAGGGAGGGAAGAGUGACUUGGGAACCAGAUAGGGACAUGGAGCUAUUCCGGAAGCGGCUGUCAGUGUAUGGAUCAUACUGCCCAUCAGCAUUGGAGAGGCUGUGAGUCCUCAGCAUGGUCGGGUUGGACAAGCUCAUCUGGGUGACAGUGGUGGGACUCGCUGGAAUAAAAGGAAUAGAAUCAAAAGGUUAGACAUUCAUGUCUCUGUUCAAAUCCUGGUUGGGGACAAAGAGAAGACUGCUUAUUUUUAGCCACAUGUGUUUCUGCCAACUCUUCUCCCAUCUGUUUUCUAAAAGGUAGUCCCAUCAGCAUUUGAGUUACACACCGGGAGCUAAAAAUAAGAGUAAAAAGGCAGGUCAGCUCCAAAGCAAGGCUCUGGGCCUCAGCUUUCCAACUUGGCACGUUCAGACAGGCCAGUAUCACCUUCCAGGCAUGAGCUAAUUACUCCCCAGGCUCAUCUGGAAUGAUUUUCUCUAAAGCCAAAAGCCCAAAAUAGUCCAAUCAGGCUUUUGAUCAGAUGGGAAGCAUUUGUGCAUGACAAGAAUCUCUUGCCUCAAAGAGUUAUGGCUGGGAAAGAACAGUAUGAACACAGAUCCCAUUGCCUCAGAUGGGGGACAUUUAAUAAUGGUAUAUAAAGAGUUUCAAUGCAAGGAAGGUACAUUUGUCUCAGCUAAAACUAGCUUUCUUAUGAAAAUCCUGUCCAUUUGAGUCAUGUGCAAUAUUUUCAGAGGUACUCAUUUAGUCAAUCAGAAAUGAAGUGUUAAACCUCACUUGAUUACAAGCCACCUCUAUCCUUAAAGACUCUGAAUUUGUUAUUCACUAUAUUCAGAAAAGCCUGCCUCUCUAAAGAGUGAGAUGAGAUUAGAAAAGAUUUCUCACCCUCUAUCAGUCCUUCAAGGCUCAGCUCCUACUCUGCCACCUUCACAUAACCUCUGCCUAUAACUUCAGCCAGCACUAAUCUUUCCUUUUUCUAAAUGUGUCUAAUGCUUGCUAUCUAAUUAUAUUCAGCUUUUACAUGAUUUCAUAUAAAGCUCUGGAUUGUUCUCUUUUACUCUAUUAUAUAGGUGUGCAUUGAUGUGUUUGUCUUCCUGAAAAAGAAUUCCAUUGACAUGUCAGCAGGGACUGUGACACAAAUUCUUUUCCUUUCCCCACUGUGCCAGUCAAAGCAUUAUGUCAGAAGUAGGCAUUGUUAAGAAUACCUAUUCAAUCAAAACUUAACUUUUAUUUCCAACUUAAUAAAGCAAUGAGGAUGACCUAACAUGGGAUAUGCGAUAAAAUCUAUUUCUUCAGAGGUCUUAGAAAAAGAAUGCAUUCUUUUUAAGAAUGGGAUAACAUGUUCUUUGCUAUAGCCCUACCAAUAUCAACCAAAUAAAGAAAAUUAUUGAUUACAGUAUCAAAAACUUUACUAUUUUCUCUAUUUAUUUUUCUGUCAAUCCCCUGUAAUCGAUCUAUAUUGCCGAGGGCUAAUCAGACACUGAGCGGGAUGUGACUAUAUGUCUAUUUCAAAAUGUAAGAUAACUCAAGUGAUGGGUGCACCAAAAUCUCAGAAAUCACCACUAAAGAACUUACCCAUGUAACCAAAACCACCUGCUCCCCAAAAACUAUUGAAAUAAAAAUAUGUUAUGUAUAUAAGAUAACCACUGCCCUGUGGAGCUGAUCAACAUAGGUAAUGACAAGUGGCUACUCACCAAGCUGGGAAAAGUUGAAUCUUGUUCCGGAGGGAGAAGUCACGCUGGAGCCAGAGGAAAAGGGGGAAUUGGCAGCGGUGUCCUGAAGGCCUCCUGCAGAAUGGGACCGUAACCAUUCUUUUGCAUCUUCUUGCGUGCGAAGCUGGGAGGUGGGAGUAUACCUGGACAGACAGAAAUCAAGCCGGAAUUAACUAUGAACAAUGCUUAUUAAAAUGAACUCUGUGGAGCUGAUGGUAAAUAUAUAAAAAGAAAACAUAUAUCCGAAGAUGAUUUUUUUUAAAAUCAGAUCACUACACGUCCUGAAACUUAUGAAGUUUCUCAAAACCUUUUUUCUAUUUGGCUGUGUUUGGGGAAAAUGACUACUCCCUUUCAGUUUGGAGGGAACACAUAAAGGGAAGAAGAUUGGUAAAUGCUCAGAAGAGCCGUCACUGGGCGUAUCUGUAACAUGUUGCUUCAUGACAGUGUCACGUCAAAGCCCCCACCUUGACAGGACUGAAGCAACAAAAUGAGCUGCUGUUAGAGCUUUGAGGGAGUUUUAAUUAGACAACUCAUGGCAUCUGCCAUUCUACAACACAAAUAAAUGACCAUGAAUCACAGCAUAUGAAAAAGCAGACAUACAAAGCAAGGUUUGAGGACACUGAUGCUUAUAGUAGUUGCUGUAAUAGAGCACAAACAAAUCUUCAUAAAAGCAACCCCAAAUUGUUGAGUUUUAUAGGAGAGGGUCUUCAGAAGUUAUGUGGUCCACCACCUCAUUUAUUCUGAAAUGUAUAUGGUGAUGAUUUAUUGAACAUCUGCAAUGUGCUAGGUGCCUUCAUGUGCAUUAUCUUACCAAAGCCUCAGACCUACUCAGCAAUGCAGAUGCCAUUAUUCCUAUUUUACAUUCAGGGAAGGUAAGAACCCUGCUGGUAGUCACAGAGUUGAGAUUUCAAUCCAUGUUUGAUUUUAAAAUGCAUGUUCUUUUCAUUAUGCCCAUAAGUAGCGUGUGAAAUUUCUUUCCUUUUUUUUUUUUUUUUUUUUUUUUUCGAGACGUAGUCUUGCUCUACUGCCCAGGCCGGAGAAAGGUGGCAUGAUCUCGGCUCACUGCAACCACUGUCUCUUGGGUUCAAGUGAUUCUCCCACCUCAGCCUCCCGAGUAGCUGGGACUAUAGGCAUGUGCCACCAUGCCCAGCUAAUUUUUUGUAUUUUUAGUAGAGACAGGGUUUUACCAUGUUGGCCAGGCUGGUCUUGAACUCCCGCCCUCAAGUGAUCCACCUACCUCAGCCUCCCAAAGUGCUAGGAUUACAGGCAUGAGCCACCGCACCUGGCCUGCAUCUGAAAUUUCUGAGUGCCAAGUGGCCAGGGUAUCCUCGGACUUAUAUAUUAUGGAGUGACUACUGAUUAUGUCAAUAGGGGGAUUCUUUGGGCUUAAGGAAAGAUGUUGUCAGUGUGUUCGUACUGGAUGUUCAUGUGUAUGGAGUGGGUGAGCUACACAGGAAGAAUCAGAGUGAGAGGGAGCACAGAAAUGUUUUCUCCUUAAUGUUUUUACUAUAUCUGACAGACAUGCAACUUUCCAGGACACAUCAAUUGCCUGAAAAUAGCCUGUCAUGUAUCUCUAUUCUGAAUUUUUAAAAAACCAGAGCUACAUAAUUUUGAUAGGCUAGAUCUGCUACAGAAGUAUACACACCAUUUCACAAUGUUAACAUUUAGAAGUUAGCUUUCUCUCAGGGCACCAGUGGGGCAUCAAAGUCAAACUCACAGUGAGAGUGGCCAUGAUUUAAGCAUCUGGCAUGGUUGCUGACAAGCAGCUCAUAGGCACGAUUGAAACUGGUAAGUACAAAAGGCCUUGCCAAGGCCCCCUCUAAGGCCACACUGCUCAACAACUUCCUGCAGGAUGACUGUUGGGAGAUUUUAAUACUUUCCUUCUUAGAUUCUUAGAACUGGCUUUACUCAGAGGAUCCCAUUGAAAGGAAGCAUUGAUACCUACCUCACAUUACUGUUCAAAAUGCUCUCAGUCUUAAGAGCUGCAGGUUAUUAACUAUAGACAUACAUGACAGCAAUGAAACAUUUCAUUCCAAGUCCCAUUUUAUGCGAAAGCACUUAAUGCUUAGUGCAGGGUGAAGCUGAUGCUACAGGGCAUGUGGUGUUUAGAAAGCAGAAGAAAUGACGGCUGCAACCAUAAGACAGCAAGAUCACAGGGGAGGCAUUAGCAAACUGAAUUUUCUCUGAUUGGCAAAGUGAUAUAGAUGGUGUGAGCAAUGGUGACUUAUAGCAUCUUGUUUUGCCAGGACUAGCACCAAAAACGAACCUGAGCCACCACUUACCAGGAAUGGAAGGACAGUCCUUCCUGGGAGUCUUUUCUUUAUUAUCCACCAAAAAAUGAUCACACCCAUGUCUUGUUGGGCAAUGAAAGUGGACCAAUUUUCCAUUAGAAUAUUUAGACAAGGGCAAAGUAUCUGUCUAGCAAUUUUUUAUGGGCAGAAAAGUUAAAUAUUUUCAAAUUGGGGGAAAAUAUUCCUUGCCUCCUGUGCUCUUGUCCUAGCUUACAAAUCAGUAUGCUAUAAGUCAUGUCCUUUCUCUUGGAAGACAGCCAUGUUAACAGAAUGGUCAUGGUGAAGUGCUCAGAAAUUAAACCCAUUGGCCCCAGAAGCAGUAAUGACUGCUCCUUGGGCUUGCCCAGGGAUGUUUUUCAUGAGAUGGUUUUACCACAUUAAGCCUGAAAAAGCACAGCCCCUGCUCAAGCAAAUAAGCUGACAAAUGGAGAGUGAGAACGAGAGGGUGCAAGGGGAGCCGUCAUCCAAAAGGUCCUGCUGUGGUGGUCAAAGCGGGGACCCCAGCCCAGCCCAAACCCCCACCAGCCAUGAAGGAGUCACACAGCCAAGCUCCAAAGCCACAACAGAUGGCACAGAUGCAAGGAGGAAACACAGAUACCUGAGUCCUUUCUUAGGCAAAGUGUUCCUAUCAAGGUGCGGGUCACUGUAGGAAAGUUAAAACAAAAAUAAGAACUUCAGAGCAGCACACAGAAGGCAGAGAGAGGGAAAGCUAGGGAGGGGACUGAAGGGCCCUGGAGAAAGAGGUGCACAUCACCAGGAAGUGCCUUAUCCAGCUAGGCGUGCAAUGCAACACAUCCACAUCCGUGGAAAACAAAAGAAACCCAAUCCUCAGCCUGAGCUGACACCAGCGCAUACUUUACCCCAGGUCACCAGGAGGCCUGAGUCCCUUAACCCCAAUUGUUCCUCGUUUUCCACAGAUUCAAAGCAAAAUUCAGGGGUUGCUCCACCUCAAAGCAGAGGUCCUGUGCCUUCUACUGCCCAGGGGCACUCUCUGCACCAACACGGCUUCUCAGAGAGAGGGAUGCCCACUUCCCUGCACCCCUAACUCUGGCCCACCCCCUAAAUGCCACUGGCAAUGACUUCAAAUGGGAGAACAGACUUGUUGGAGGUUUCAAGAGGCCAGCAGUCUGCAUAUUUGGAAUUCAUCUGUAACGAAGUGAAUUCCAGGUCCCUCUCAAUUUCUGCGGCCCAGGCAUAGCUAGGAGCUGAGUCCUGGGUGGGGCAUGUUACAACUUGCUGGCUGAUGAAGUCAAAGCACUUGGAUUUCUAAAGACCAACGGUUUAAAGGCUUGGUUUGUGAGCUGACAAAAACAAAGUUUUCACUGUUGAUGGGGUGAAGGUUUUUUUUUUUUUUUUUUUCUGGCAGGAGACAACAUCUGUUUGUUAUGUUUGGCCAGGUCAUCACUCCCCCACAAAAUUAAGGACAGUAUCCAUCUCUGAGGCCCACCUACAGCUGGGGGCAAACACAAGCGUGUACAUUUGUAAAGUCUUAAUACUCUACACAUUCUUUUUCAUUAUCAUCGCAGGAAAUGGGCACACAGAACACAACAGUCUGCAAGACAUAAUGAGCCAAACUUCAGCAAAGGAUUUUGAAAGGGAGAAGAGGCAGCUGCAUGGGGAGGGGUAGACAAAGGUGAGGGCCAAGCUACACAGUGGGUGGCAGGUCAUUUCUGGGCUUGGGGUUGGGGGUGGCAAAAGGAAUGGGAAGGAAGCUGAAAAGCAGGAACAUGCCACAGGAGGCCACAAGAGAUGCAAGCGAGAGCUUCCGCUGCCCCAGAUCAAGUGGCAGGGUUUAAGGUCGCCUUCCCAAAAUGGGAAUGAAGAGGCCAGCCCAACUCCACCUCUCCCUGGGCUUUAGCAGACAGAGGAACAGACUCUCACUGGCAUGUCCAUGUGUCACAGAGUACACUAGAGCCACAAACACAAGCAGGUGGCUUAGGCCAACAGCCUCGCACAAGACAUCUGGCUUGACAACGAAUGGGCAGAAGAACCUAGAGGCUCGGUUGGUCCCCGGCCUGCAAUGUCAUUACCUGUCCUGUUUCCUGGGCAGAGUACUUCUGCAGAACUUAGGGCUAGCAGCAGGGGAAGAGAGAGGGCUAGAAGUCCAGGCAGGUAGAAAACAAGAGAAGGAACGUUAGCUUGGAAGAAAGGAGAGGUGUUGUUAUAUACAUUUUUUUCAUUCCCCAUGCUGAUCCUCGCUUUCUUCCCUAUAUGCAGAAACUGGACACAUUUAUCCCUGCUGCAGAGAAAUCCAGGGCUCUGAGAACACUUUUAAUUUCUUGAUUUCCUAUCAGUCCAGGAGGAGGGUGUUUGCCACAAUGACAACAAACCUACCCAGCUGUCUAAAGAGCAUCCUACUAAACACUCCAUGUCUGCACCCAGUCACCUGCUCUGCUUGCACAAUUACAAGGGGAGGGAAAAGAAGCUGUUGAUGAACAAACAGGAUAAAACUGAAGGAUUUCAAAAGCUGAAUGCCAUUUCAAAUGGUAGCAUAAAUCUGCCCCCGAGAGACUGAGCAGCUCCAAGCACCAAAAAUAACCACAGAGGAAAAGAUAACAGGGAGCAGAGCCAAGCUUGAUUCCAUCCUGAAGUGGCUUCCCCAUGAAAGACAGCAGUAAUUAGAAAGAGAGAAAUCUUACAGGCAAAGGCUAUUCGACAUUUGGGAUUCCUAAGCUAAUCUUUUUAUUUUUGGAAGGGUGUCUUUCUGAGAAAGGCAGCCAGAGGCACAGCACCAACCUUUCUGACAGUGUGGUCUUCACACUGUUAGUUCUGACAAAGGGAGUCAAGGAGUCGUCCUUGGAGGAGGCGAUGAGGCCAGUGGAAGAAUUGUGGCUGGGGACCCCUCCACUGCUGAGGGAGAUGUCGAUGGACUCACAGCUGGUGUGGAGGCUGCUGACAGACUGAAAGCCCAGGCCAUCCUUGCUAACUGCGGAGGAGCUGCUGGCGUUGGUGCCCCAGGGCCAAGACAGCCCCGGCCUCUUACCAGUUCCUGGGGUCUUCAGUGCGCCUGCCGGGGCUGAAGGCUUCGUCCUUGGCAUGGUGAUGCCCACCUGAGCUGUCAUGCCUCGCCGCCAUGAGCCUGUCUGGGAGAUGACAGGAUUCUUCUUGCCCGACGUGCUUUUGUCGGACUCGUCAGACACAUCAGAAGGAUUCCGCCUCCACUUGGAACCUGGCUCCAUUUUUAUGCCGCUGUCUGAGCCUCCGUCUGAUUUCUUGACAUCAUCACCAGACCACAGGGAAUUCCUCUCCACCUGUGAGUGCUUCUCAGCAUCAGUCUGUGGACAGAGACUCUCUGAAUUAGUCCUUCCCCAGUCCCAGGCUGGGAAGCCCCUCACUCCAAAGGCAAAAAUGCCAAAACACUGGAGUAGUUAAGGGAAAAAUAAGCAUUACUUUAAAGAUGUUUGGACUUUUGUACUCUGGUUAUCUUGUUAGAAAGACUGAUUUUUUUUUUUUGGAAAAAAAAAUAAAAAAGUAAAUAAUAUCAAUGUAUCCCUGGAAUGGAAUGGAACGAGAUGGCUGGGCACAGUGGCUCACGCCUAUAAUCCUAAUAUUUUAGGAGGCUGAGGCGGGAGGAUCACUUGAUCCCACAAGUUUAAGACCAGCCUGGGCAUCAUGGCAAAACCCCAUCUCUACAAAAAAUAGAAAAAUUAGCUGAGUGUGGUGGCACACGCCUAUAGUUCUACCCACUCGGGUGGUUGAGGUGGGAGGAUCACCCCGGGGAGGUGGAGGCUGCAGUAAGCCGUGACCGCACCACUGUACUCUAGCCUGGAUGACAGGGCGAGACUGUCUCAAAAAAGAAGAAAAGAAAAGCAAAAGAAAGGAGUGAGGGAAGAGAGGAAAAGGGGCCCAGGAAAAAAGAAGGAAAGAGCCCUAGCGAGGGGAAGGGGCAGAGCAGAUGGAGAUGCAGUGGGAAUUCAGCCACCACCUAUUUUCUGCCACUUGAACAAGCCUCCUCCAACUCUGGCGGCUGAUCUCUAACCAGCAUCCAGUCUCCUGGCCCGUUUCCCUUUGUUCUGCCUUCUUCCCAUCACUGCACCGCAGAGAGAUCUUUGGAUCUAACACACCAAGCAAGGGAGCAAGGGUGGCUGCUGGUUCUACGCAAAUCAGGGAGAGCCAGGAGCUGAGGGGAAGCGCAUCCUCAAAUGCUACUUCCCCCAAAUGCGGAGAGCCAAUGAUGCCUGCUCCGACCCCAGCAUUAUUUAUAUGCCACUGCUUUGCUCCCCUUGUGGGAUUUUGUUCUGACAAGGGAUAUAAUUAGCCAGCUUUCUUUGGAAGAGCCCUGACCUGCUGGCCAUAAAACCCAGAAGGGGACCGAAGUGUGACGUUAAUGAUCUCCUGCAGCUAAAAGGCAUAAAGCUGACCAGAAUGCUUUGGAGGCCUCCUGGGGUUUGAGGCCAGUUGGAGGAUGUCAGUAGCGAGAAGCAGCACGGUAAAUGGGGAAGGGAGGUCAGGAGCGCUUUCAGGGUGGGUAUACUAAGAUACCAGUCCCAUAUUUGCAAUGCUUAACUACCGAGAGUAGGCAAGAUAGGAAAUUAAAAUGAACACCUGGCAAGAAUCUGCCUAACGCCUGUCAUCCAAGAGUGGAAGAAAUGCCUUCCUCCAUGGAAUACAAUGGCUGAAUGGGAUAAAAGCUAAAAACAGAUAGGCAGCCCAAGUUCAAUCGCCUCCCCAACACCACCCCAACCCCUUCUCCCCUUAUGAAUUCCACUCAUCCAUUACAGACACCUUAUGAGUUCUUUCAUUUGUUUUUUUCCAGCUAAGUAUUAGUCACUAGAGAUAUGAGGAGGACAAACACACACUGCCUGGCUAUGAGAAGCUCAUCAUUCAGCUGUGGCAAGGGACAGAGAGAGGGGAGUUCCUACAUGUGGGCACAGGGCAGGAGCUCACUCAAAGCUUGAUGAGCGAAUGAAUGAGCCUAGGAAGGAGCCAAGGAACACACGCUUUUCAGGCCACAACAGACAUUAGCAAAAUUAUCUUAUCCGAUCUCAGCCUCUAUUUAAUCAGAAAGGGUAAGUACACAAGUACUCAAGUACUGUUAUCUUUAUCUCAAUCUUACAGAAACUAAAGUUGCCCAUUCUUUGUCCCAACUACCUCAGGUCAGUUUCCUUCCUCUAAACACUUCCAGUACAUUCAUCCAACCAGAAUUUACUCCAUGCUUGCUGUCUGCCAGGCACCACGGAGGGUCAGAGAAUCUGGGGAUAAGACUGAUUUCCCACCCAUGGUGGAGCUUACGAUCCAGUGAAACAGGCAGAGAUAGAAUAAAUAAACACAAACAAGGGUGUAAUUGUAGACUACGAAGACUAUUAUAAGGAAAAAGACAAAAAGUCUGAGAAAUAAAUAUAGACAUUGACCUAAUUUAGAUGACAAUGAGGUGGGUAGGCGACAGUGAUCAGUUCAAAAAGAAGUACCCUAAAGAAAGAAAAGAAACUUACUUAGUAAAAGAAGAGUUUGGGGCAGAGCAUACCAGGGAGAGGGAACCACAUGUAUAAAGGUCCUGAGGCAGAAAAUAACUUGGCUUUGGAACAUUCACUUCACAAAUAUUUAUUGGGUGCCACUACGUGCCAGGAAAGCUUAUUCGCACUAGGAAUACUGCAAUGAACAAGUAUAAAUCAUUAACCUCAUGGAGCUUACAUUCAAGUACAUUUUAACAUAUUCUAAUAUGCUCUAAGAGGUACUGAAAAUUUAGCACAUGCCACAUCCUGGGUUACUGCAUUAUUUAUUCUUUUAAUGUUCCUAUACUUAUUUCCCCCCAAUCAAACUGUAAUGGUGCUAAUACUAGUAGCAUAACAACUACAAUUUAUUGAGUACUUACUACGUCCCAGGCACUAAGCUAAAGUGUUUGAUAUGUAUCAUUAAAUUUAAUCCUUAUCAAAAACCUAUGAGGAAAUUACAGUUAAUAGUCUCAAUUUUACAUGACAAAACUGAGGCAAACAGUGAAAAGAAAAUUUCCCAAGAUCACAUAGUGAGGAAGUAGAGAUGCAGGGAAUUCAGGGAGUCUAACUGCAGAGCCCACAUUUUAACCACCAUGCCACACUGCCCUCCCUAAGGAUAAGUCGAGGUAUAUGAUACAUUUGUGCAUACUCAGUAGCACCUAAUAGCUAUACCCAGCAGAUUCUCCUUCCAUACUGGCAGGCUCCCCAACCCCAGUUCUAGAGCAGCUCUAGCUUAGCCUCUAGGUGGGACCCAUACAACUCCAUUUCCAUCAGUGGCAGAGACAGCGCACAUGCCCCUGGCCUGGGAAUGUGGCUUGACUUUCUCUCUCUGGAAAGAACAAUCAUCCAGCCAUCACAUCUCCCUAGCUUGGUCCAGGGUGGUCACCUUCCCAGCUCUACUCUGAAUCCUUCAUGAGCUACAUGCCGGACUAUAAGGUGGCACCCCUUGGGAUUAAAAAACGAGAAAGUCCCAGCCUCUCUGUUCCUGGAGCUCGCAACAGCGGAACCAGCCAACAGGACAUCCACAUGGGGACGUACGAAGAGUUCUAUCCUGCCUUCCCCUCCAUGCCUCGGCCAGUUGUUUCCAUCUCAAUGGUACCUCCUUUCUGAAGGGUUUUCUUCUGCCUGUUCUUGGAAGUCUAUGUAGUCAUUCGAUAUCCACAUGGGAAGGUGAGGAAAGAAGCCACGCACAAGGGACUUCAGAAGGGAGGCCAGUCUUCUGAGAGCAAGAGGUGAGGCCUGAGGAGCAUGAUGUGGGGGAAGAGUGUGGGCUUUGGGUCUGACAGAUCUGGGUUCAAGUGUUCGGUGCUGCCACUCAUUUGCUGUGCAUGACCUUGGAAGACAUUGCCCUACUUAUCUGAACUUAUUAACUCAUGUAUAAAACAUGGAUGAUAAAUAGGUCUCUUACAGCAUUGAUGGUGAACUCAGUGAACUCAGUGUGGGGGGACUCAAUAA
rnacentral:lncRNA from 1 species